rnacentral:rRNA from 1 species
GCUGACGAGUGGCGGACGGGUGAGUAAUGUCUGGGAAACUGCCUGAUGGAGGGGGAUAACUACUGGAAACGGUAGCUAAUACCGCAUAACGUCGCAAGACCAAAGAGGGGGACCUUCGGGCCUCUUGCCAUCGGAUGUGCCCAGAUGGGAUUAGCUAGUAGGUGGGGUAACGGCUCACCUAGGCGACGAUCCCUAGCUGGUCUGAGAGGAUGACCAGCCACACUGGAACUGAGACACGGUCCAGACUCCUACGGGAGGCAGCAGUGGGGAAUAUUGCACAAUGGGCGCAAGCCUGAUGCAGCCAUGCCGCGUGUAUGAAGAAGGCCUUCGGGUUGUAAAGUACUUUCAGCGGGGAGGAAGGGAGUAAAGUUAAUACCUUUGCUCAUUGACGUUACCCGCAGAAGAAGCACCGGCUAACUCCGUGCCAGCAGCCGCGGUAAUACGGAGGGUGCAAGCGUUAAUCGGAAUUACUGGGCGUAAAGCGCACGCAGGCGGUUUGUUAAGUCAGAUGUGAAAUCCCCGGGCUCAACCUGGGAACUGCAUCUGAUACU